CUUACAUUUUUCGAUCGUCAUUUGUUUUUUUGACUAUUCCAUGGCCUUUUCGAUUUUAUUUUAAUUAUUUUCUGUUAAAAAUAGAAACUCGGUCUGGUAAGAUGUCACGAAGUCUACGAAGACAUAUUUUAUCUGUUAACUGAUAGUACUGAUAGUAGCAACUGUAACAUGUAACAUCGUAUUAUACAAGAGCACUGGAUAUUAAGAAUUCAAGAAGGUCACUUUGAAAUCUGAAGAAUUCCACUACCUACCUGUUUGAAGAUCCAUGGCAAUAUACCUGUUGAUUUUUAUUUUAUAAUAAAUGCUUUGAUAUAUUUGUAGUAGUUAUUAAUAUUAGUUAAUUUCGUACACUUAAUAUUGUAGCCAUAUAAUAGCAUAUUAAUAAAUAAAUAAUAAUUUC